UCAGCAGUAUUAAAGUGCUUAUAGUGCAGGUAGCUUCUUGUCGUCUACUGCAGUGUGAGCACUUCAAGUACUUCUAA
rnacentral:pre_miRNA from 1 species